AGAGAGAGACAUGCGCGCAUAUCAAUAAGCGGAGGAAAAGAAACUAACUAGGAUUCCCUCAGUAACGGCGAGUGAAGCGGGAAGAGCUCAAAUUUGAAAUCUUCAAGGUUUUACCUUGACGAAUUGUAGUUUAAAGAAGUGUUUUCUGCUGAAGUUUUGGUAAAAGUUCUUUGGAAUAGGACAUCAUAGAGGGUGAGAAUCCCGUAUUUGACCAUUAUUUUCAGCUUUGUGAUACACUUUCAAAGAGUCGGAUUGUUUGGGAAUGCAGUCCAAAAUGGGUGGUAAAUUUCAUCUAAAGCUAAAUAUUGGCGAGAGACCGAUAGCGAACAAGUACCGUGAGGGAAAGAUGAAAAGAACUUUGAAAAGAGAGUUAAACAGUACGUGAAAUUGUCAAAAGGGAAGCGUUUGACACCAGUGUUGUUUUCUCGAAAAUCAAUUAAAAAUGGCUCGAUUUUGUAUUGCUUGAGACCUUAAAAGCUCACUGUACAUUUUUCGUGUCUUUUUUAAUGCACUUUUCGUUUAACAAGUCAACAUCAGUUUCUUUUGUUGUAAAAGGGUCAUUGGAAGGUGGCUCUCUUUUCGGAGAAAGUGUUUAUAGCCUUUGGCCUCUGCAAUCGGAGAGACUGAGGUCUGCAGCGUAGACUCUUCGGGGUUAGAUACAUUUGUGCUAAGUUGUAGCUUUUUAUAGACAACUUGUUGACUAUAAUUAGUCUUGUAGCUUACUCGCUUAUGCUAUUUUACCUACGCUUAGGAUGUUGAAGUCAUCGUAUCGCGC
rnacentral:rRNA from 1 species